rnacentral:rRNA from 1 species
GACGAACGCUGGCGGCGUGCUUAACACAUGCAAGUCGAACGGAAAGGCCCUGCUUUUGUGGGGUGCUCGAGUGGCGAACGGGUGAGUAACACGUGAGUAACCUGCCCUUGACUUUGGGAUAACUUCAGGAAACUGGGGCUAAUACCGGAUAGGAGCUCCUGCUGCAUGGUGGGGGUUGGAAAGUUUCGGCGGUUGGGGAUGGACUCGCGGCUUAUCAGCUUGUUUGUGUGGUAGUGGCUUACCAAGGCUUUGACGGGUAGCCGGCCUGAGAGGGUGACCGGCCACAUUGGGACUGAGAUACGGCCCAGACUCCUACGGGAGGCAGCAGUGGGGAAUAUUGCACAAUGGGCGGAAGCCUGAUGCAGCAACGCCGCGUGCGGGAUGACGGCCUUCGGGUUGUAAACCGCUUUCGCCUGUGACGAAGCGUGAGUGACGGUAAUGGGUAAAGAAGCACCGGCUAACUACGUG